rnacentral:rRNA from 1 species
GAUGAACGCUGGCGGCGUGCCUAAUACAUGCAAGUCGAGCGAACAGACGAGGAGCUUGCUCCUCUGACGUUAGCGGCGGACGGGUGAGUAACACGUGGAUAACCUACCUAUAAGACUGGGAUAACUUCGGGACACCGGAGCUAAUACCGGAUAAUAUAUUGAACCGCAUGGUUCAAUGGUGAAAGACGGUUUUGCUGUCACUUAUAGAUGGAUCCGCGCCGCAUUAGCUAGUUGGUAAGGUAACGGCUUACCAAGGCGACGAUGCGUAGCCGACCUGAGAGGGUGAUCGGCCACACUGGAACUGAGACACGGUCCAGACUCCUACGGGAGGCAGCAGUAGGGAAUCUUCCGCAAUGGGCGAAAGCCUGACGGAGCAACGCCGCGUGAGUGAUGAAGGUCUUCGGAUCGUAAAACUCUGUUAUUAGGGAAGAACAAAUGUGUAAGUAACUAUGCACGUCUUGACGGUACCUAAUCAGAAAGCAACGGCUAACUACGUG